rnacentral:rRNA from 1 species
AUACGUAGGGGGCGAGCGUUGUCCGGAAUGAUUGGGCGUAAAGGGCGCGUAGGCGGCGCGGUAAGUCUGGAGUGAAAGUCCUGCUUUCGAGGUGGGAAUUGCUUUGGAUACUGCCGCGCUUGAGUGCAGGAGAGGUUAUCGGAAUUCCCGGUGUAGCGGUGAAAUGCGUAGAGAUCGGGAGGAACACCAGUGGCGAAGGCGGCUUACUGGACGAUUACUGACGUUGAGGCUCGAAAGCGUGGGGAGCAAACAGGAUUAGAUACCCUGGUAGUCCACGCGGUAAACGAUGAAUACUAGGUGUCGGGUGGCAACAGCCAUUCGGUGCCGCAGCAAACGCAAUAAGUAUUCCACCUGGGGAGUACGUUCGCAAGAAUGAAACUCAAAUGAAUUGACGGGG